AGGCCCAAGCUUUGCCAAAUUAGUAAUCUGGCUUAUCCAUUCACUUGCAAGUUGCAAUCAUGAGAGGAUUCCGGACCUUAAAAUUUCAAUGCAUUUUGUUUAGCACUAAAUGUCGGAAACUGAAAAUCAUAAGAGGAUCGGAUGCAUCCGUCUGUAGUUUUUACCAGUAGAUAUGUGGAACAAUACUUCUGCUUGUGUUUCCUACCAUGUUUGUUUACAUUCACUGAUCCUUUGGUUUACUAAGAAAUUCCUGAAACACAGCCAUCUAAGUACUUUUACUAUUGCAUCAGGUGGUCGAAUCAAGCAUGCUAUCAAUAGUACUUUAGUUAAUACGAUUGUGAUUUCACAUAAUAAAUACUGAAGUUCAGUACUAGCUCCAAGAUGCCCCCACUCCUCCAUCGCCAGGUUCUCCAUCUUCUUAGAUCCCUCCCUGCCAUGACGAACAUCUCCCUUGACGCCGGAAACUGCAUUUUGUGUUCACUAACCUACCGAUCCUCUAGAGGCCCACUAUCCAGAUUUGAUGUGAUAGGGUACAACAUGUAAAUAUAUAUAAUUCAGCUAUCCAUGAUCUAUCAAUCUUACCAAGAUGGUUUUUAUCUUAUAGGACAUCAUAAGUGCAAAUAGGAGUUGAAAGAAAGCAUGUUCCAGCAGAAAAAAAUGUUUAUGUGCACACAACUUAAGUAGCGAACGCUGAAUGUCAAGAGCUCGAUGAGAAGGUUCGCAAUAUUUGGAAUAUCCUGAGUACAUGCGGUGUACAUCCGCUGAAAAUUACAAUCGAAACCAAACAACCAGGCUUAUGUCGUAAGUUAACUAUGAUCAGAGGGUCGACCGGUCUGAUCCCGCGUCUGGGCUCGCCCCACUCCUUGCCCGCCACCAGCAACGAUGCGUCCUUCCCAUCACUCCACCACCUUAUAGCCAAGAGGACCAGACGCCUCUUUGCCUCAUGUUCUACCAGCGCUCAAGGCAAAGAUGUAGCCCUUCGAGACCUACAAUGACAAUAUCAGAUUUCUCCACACCUACAAGAACUUAAGUGGCUUUCUUGAUUCCUAAUGGUGAGAUUCUCCAUGUCCAGUACUGUACCAUAAAUAACUUCAAUAUGUAUUAAAUAGUGCUGAUGAAUGCGUGGGUGGGGAAAUGUAUAAUUCAGCACAUUUCUCAGUUC